rnacentral:rRNA from 1 species
GAUGAACGCUGGCGGCGUGCCUAAUACAUGCAAGUCGAGCGAACAGACGAGGAGCUUGCUCCUCUGACGUUAGCGGCGGACGGGUGAGUAACACGUGGAUAACCUACCUCUAAGACUGGGAUAACUUCGGGAAACCGGAGCUAAUACCGGAUAAUAUAUUGAACCGCAUGGUUCAAUAGUUAAAGACGGUUUUGCUGUCACUUAUAGAUGGAUCCGCGCCUCAUUAGCUAGUUGGUAAGGUAACGGCUUAACAAGGCUCCGGUGCGUAACCGACCUGAGAGGGGGGACAGGCACACUGGAACUGAGGAACCGGCCCGGCUCCUACGGGAGGGAACAGGUAGGAAAUCUGCAGAAAUGGGGGAAGGCCGGACGAAGCAACGCGGCGGGGGUGAGGAAGGCCUCGGGUUGGAAAACCCUUGUUAUGGGGAAAAAAAAAAGGUGUAAGUAACGAUGCACGUCUGAACGGAACCAAAUAAGAAGACCCCGGUUAAUUAGGU